UUUAUGCGGAAAAAAAGAAACUUAUAUAAAUAUGGAAGAUGGGAUUGCUUCAACGAUAUCGUCUUCUCUCUAUUUCUUAAGCUCUAAUUUUCUGUGACUAUCGAGUCUAAUGGCAGGUUUGGACUUUGUUAGCGAUUUGAAGCCGUUCAAGUCGAUGUGGAAAAUUCGUGUUAAGGUGAUUCGUCUUUGGAAGCAGUAUACUUGUGCUCUGGGAGAAACAAUGGAAAUGGUGUUAGCUGAUUCAAAAGUAAGCACGCUGUUGACAACAUAUAUAUUUGAUCAUUUUGAAACUCUUCUUAUGUUGCUAAUUUAUCUUGCAGGGCGAUAUGAUCCAUGCUACUGUGAAGAAAGAAUUGGUCAGCCAGUUCGUGACCUUAAUCAGUCAAGGUGAAUCGAAGUUGAUGGUGAAUUUCAUCGUCACAAUGGCUGCUGGAUCUUAUCGCCCCACAAAGCACCCUUACCGAAUUGUGUUCCUCCCGACGACUCGACUAAGAAUGUGUGAUGCUUUGCCUUCAAACUUGACUGGUUUAGACCCGGUCAAGUUUGAGUCUAUUAAGGAUGGUAGUCAGAACACGGACUGCUUGGUUGGUGAGUCUUACAUCAUUCAUUACGUUUGUAUUUGCUAGAUGACGUUUUGGUUUAAACUUUGAUUUUGUGUUUUUCCCUUAUUGCAGAUGUUAUCGGACAUAUUGUUGAGGUUUCCCAUGUGGAAGUUAUUUCUGUGAAUGGAAAAGAUACCCAGAAGCUGUCACUGGAAUUAAGGAACCAAGAGUAAGACAUUUUAAUUUGUCCAUUGUUUUGUUGUCUUUUGCGUGAAAAGGGUUCAAUUUAUUCUCAAAUUUUUGUUGUCUAGGACGUUGAGGAAUUUUGGGUAUUAGCUUAAAGAUCUGUUUUAAUAUUUUUGCAGUGAUGAUCGUCUGCCGAUGGUGCUAUGGGGUAAAUUUGCAACAGAUGUCAAUGAUGCUAUCCAGCUAAGAGGUGAACAUAAGAUCAUCGUAGUGUUGCGUUUCGGCAAAAUAAAAGUCUGGAAAGGUAAAUCAAAACCUUUGUACAAUAUCAUAUUUUAUUUAUAUCAUCUCUUCAUUAUUAAGUCAAGUAACUAUAAUUAUUGGUGACUUUGGUUUCAUUCUUUAGAUGAACGUUCCAUCUCGAAUGCAUACAAUGUUUCCGAUGUUGCUUUGAAUCCUAAUUUGGAGGAGGUUCAACCGUUUAUUGAAUUGUAAGUAUAAAUUUGCAAAUCAAGGAUUCCCAUCAUGUUCGUCUUAAAUCGAAAAUCAUAGAGUUUGUACUAUCAAUAUGGAAAAAGGAGUGAAAUGUUUAUAUAAUGAUGUAGGUUACCUAAGGAUGAUAUGGCCUUGGCCAUUGUUGACCCUAAGCCUCUUGCAUUAACUAAUGGUGUUUCUGACAAGGAUGAUUUCUUUAUCCAUACCCCACGGAAAAGCAUUGCUGAUGUGAAGGCUUCAAGACAGGUAUGCAUUUUUUAGAUAUUGGAUAUCUUUACACUUUAGAAAACCACAGUUUAUGAAAUCAUAUCGUUUAUGUAUCAGGUGGAGAAGUGCGUUGUUAUGUGCACUAUUGUCGGGAUUGAUUCAGACAUGGGGUGGUUCUAUCUGAGCUGCAAGGUGUGUUCAAAAAAAGUGCUCACAGUGCCAAGCGAGUCUGAGGAUGAUGGACUCGAUGUGUUCAAGCACAAUUACUUUUGUGUGAAAUGCAAUCAGCACGACCCCCGACUUAUUCCUAGGUUACUAAUAUGAAAUUUUGAAUAUUAUACUUGAUUUAUUUAUUAGAAUUACUUUAGUUUUAAGUAAGUUAAACUUUUAUGUCCCAGGUAUAAGUUGCAUGUGGUUGUACUCGAUCAUACAAGCGACACUAAGUUCCUACUGUUUGAUAACCUAGCACAGAAGCUCUUACAUCAGCCUUGCAUUGAGCUUACUGGACCCAUAACCGAUGAGGUUAUUAUAUAAUCUCUUAAAACAGUUAUAGUAAAACCUAGAUUUUUCUUAUAAGUAUAUGAAUUGUCUUUUCUUUUUCGGUGUAGGAGGUUCAAGAACCGUAUCUUUUGCCGGCUGCUAUCAACAAUUUGGUUGGUAAAACCUUUCUCUUCAAGAUACAGAUCGAGCGGGAAAACUAUCUGUACAAGCAUGAAACCUACAAGGUGUUGAAGAUUAUCACUAACACUGAUAUGAUUUCUCAGUUUGACCUGACUCAAUCCCCAACGGGAAGUGAAACUUUCAAAGCUAUUGAUAACAGUAUUGUUUCUGAUGCACCAGAGGGUUCGAUGAUGUUGCGUGGCUGUUCAUCUCAGCAGUCUGACUCAACGAGUCUAACUCCAGCUAAAAGAAUUGGGGCACCGGUUAUCAAUCUGGAUGAAACAUUUGACCAGACUUCUGUUACGCGCACUAAUUGUCCAGUGAAGAUCAAGAAGGAGAAGAAAGAUAAAAGUGGCUAAAGCGGUUUAUUUGAAUUUUAAGAGAGUAGAGGUUUUGUUUUCUUCAAGAACUUGCAUGUUUUUCAGAUUUUUUUUGGGUUUUCUGUUUUGUGCGUAAUUUGUUGCAUUUUUAGUAAUUGGGAUUUUUUUCCCAGAUUGCGUGUUGUCUACCUUUAUUUAAUAUAUGUACCCUCUACUCUCAUUUUAAUUAUGUUUCAACCUCUUUUUAUGUUUUUCUACAUAUGCAACUAAUAUUCCUUCCGUGAGUAGUUUGAUUUUGAUCAAACUUAAAGUUUCAAAUAACACAGCAUAAACUCGGUUGCUUUAAGAGUUGAGAAAAUGUGGUUCUUUUUGUUACCUUGCAAACCUGGAUCCGUGUAAAUUUUUUAUAUAUUUUGUCAAUUGUCUAGAUUCUCCUACUUUAUUACUAACAUAGUUUCUAAUACAAAUCAAUGAUGGUGAAUUCAUGCUAAGGGUAUUUUUUAAAAAUUUAGUAGAUUGUUCAACCUACUAGGAUAUUAUACCCUUAUUUGUAACUGUGAAUUUAAAGUUAUAAACUGUAAAUAAAAUUUGAGAUAAAUGUUCUGUGUCUUACCUUUUCGCGAGAUAUGAACAAUGAGUUAUCUGUUCUCCCAUAUAAUCAUUUGGAACGUUCCAUGGACUUUAUAGUCUUCCUGACAUUUUUAAUAUCAAGCACAUGAUUAAGUUUUAUUUAUUACAAUUGUGUACGAUUUUUUUGCAAUACAGUUAUAAUAUUUGGUGAAAAUUCAUUAUGUUAAAAUCAUAUUACCUUUGAGUUCAUUUAAAUAGCAAGGGAUUAAUGUCAUCUGGAAGGAACAAUGAAUUAUGUUAAAGUCAUAUUACCUUAUCAGCUAUAUUAAACUCAUAAGUUAGAGAACUGCGGAUAAUUUAGAAAAAUUAGUCUUACACUCAAAGACAUUUAAUGUGUCCAUCAGAGUGAAAUAAGGAUUCAAAGCAAUCAAAUAUUCUAUGUGAUUUUAUUCCCAAAUCUGUACUAGAGUGCGCAUAAUUAGUAAAUAAACUGAACGUAAUAAAGGAGCCUAUCGAAAUUGAUGAACAAAACUAAAUAUGUGGAAGAAGUCCAUAGAACUGUAAUGCAGCAUUUCACCUAAGAACAUUUGAGAUGAAUAAGAACAGUCGACCCCCGAGAAAAAGAGAACACAGUACAGAUGAACAUCAAGUAUCAAAAAAGCAGAGACAAGGUUCUCUAUCUUACUUUUAAUACAAACUAAUCUGUUAUUAUGGUUAAAAUCCUAUUUACAUGUCUAACUUAUUUUGAUCAACAUUCAUCUUCUUAAACGGUAUGGAAGAGAGCAAGAUGAAUGUAAACACAGUGAUUCCGGUCUGUAAUACUCAGGGUGCUAUUUUAGCUGACAUUACAAAUGUCGUGGCUAACGACGCCAAAAACGCCAGAACUGAAAGGAGAUUACGAUUGCAACAAAAGCGUAAAUUUCCAUUUACAGAUGACACUCCUACUGUUAAUCCCAUGGUGGGGCAAUCAGAUUCAACCGUUCAAGUUUUAGUCAAACCAAUAGGUAUAGAUCCGAAACGUAU